UGGCCGCCGGCAGUCGCAGGUUGGGGAUGAUAUGCGAACAAGCAUUGAUGGUCUAAGAGAUUUGUGACGAGGGGUAAUGACUAAACUACUCCCGGUUAAAAUGAAACACAUGCUGUUAAAAUCAACGAUCCAAAUAUUUUUGACGGGGAGGAACCACUGGUUCCUCUCAAGCACCGUAACAGUCCUCUUCUUUUAUAUAUAUACUCUAGAAAUUUGUUUUGUGAAUGAAAAGUUCUAAAAAUUUGUAUAGAAACUUUCUGAAAAUCGAGCCUGAGAGCUGGAACUUGGAUGGGCGGCCAUGGCCAGUGUUCGUCAGAUUAUCCGUGGGCCACGUUGGUUCGUCCAGCAUCUUCUCCCUGUCUCCAGACUCUGGUCCGGUGGCAUCAAGGAGACUGUCAUCACCCUCGAGCAUCACCCUCGAGCUGGCGGAUUUCUCCCUGUGCCCAUCGAGUCAGGUCCGCACGCCAGCACAAGAUUGGCCACCGAUGAAGCCCACAGCCAUCAGUACGCCGGCCACCCACAGGCAGCCACACCACGAAAGCCCGGCGGCAGCACCUUGCCAUCACGCCGGCCUCAACUCUUCCACGCCCGCCACCAACCGACGCGACAGCCGCGACUCAGCCUAAAUCGCGUUGGGAUCCGCCUGGAGCCAUGGACCACGGAGGGGCAAAGGGCUGCGGCUGUGCGAUGUGGAGCUGAGUGCCGCCGCGUCCGGCCGCCGGCGCCGCUAUCGCUAGGAUUUUGGCACUUCGUCAGAGGGCGAGCGAGAGGCCUUUACCCUUUGGGGACGGUGAGUUCUCGUCGUCGGGGUUCUGCUGGUUUCGACGUCGAAGAGCGACAGCCGACAGGAGGUUGCAUUGGUCCUUUAUGGUUGUGCUUCUGGGCCACACAGCUCGGGCCUUGAAAAAUUAAAGUCUAGGGUCGUGGCCGGUGGCCCUAGGCCCAAAUCCGUCCCUUGGCCUCAGGAUCAGGGCAAGGCAGAGUGUAUCGCCGCUCGCCGGUGAUGGACCGGUGGUGGCGGCGCUGGGGAGCGAAUACGCAGUGGAAGGCGCACGGCGGCCUGUGACUUACGUGACCCAACAUUCAGAGGAACACUCUGCUGGAAUUGCUGAAGAUACCACUUGAUGGUACUGGUCCUUCAAAAUCAUUUAGUGACAGAUUGAGUGCCUGCAAAGAACUCAACAAGGCGAGGAACUCUGGAAUUUUCCCUGUCAAUUUGUUUCUAGAGAGAUCCAUUUCCUUGAUGCUUUUCAAGUUCAUGAGAGAUUCUGGAAUAUUUCCUGUAAGAAAAUUCCCAUCCAUGUGAAGAAAUUCCAAAAGCACACACUUACCUAGAGUAGAUGGAAUAUCACCAGUCAAGCGGUUAUUGGAAAUACUAAUGCUUCCAAGAUUGAUGAGCCUGCCAAUCUCCAUCGGUAUGGGCCCAGUAAAGAAAUUGUUUGACAAAUCCAAGCUUUGGGAAAGUGAUGAGAUAUUGAAGAUCUCACUUGGGAUGCUUCCGUCGAAGGAAUUGUGAGAGACAUUCAACUUCUGUAAUUGUCUCCAUUGGCCUAAACUUUCAGUUCCUCAGGAGAUUAAUAGAAAGUAAUGGAAUUUAGAUUGGAGAAUAUUGGGUAGGCGCCAAGGAAGAUAGUCCAAACAUAGAUGAGACUGACUCUGCCUGUACAUGGAAUCAAUGAUCCGAACUCAGUAUUGUAUAGCCAAUUGAGAAGCAACAAGGCGAGACAGUGACCACUGACCAGAUCGACACAGGAAGCAAGUGAUCUGUGUGAAUUGAUUCAAUGGAAACACGAAGCCCUUAAGGCCAGGGAAGGGCAACAUCAUGGAGGCACGAAGGAAUUCUGAAUCGCCAUGGGAGCUACAACACUUCGUGUGUCUCAAGUAUAUGCAAUGCUAGUCCUGUGCAUAGUCACAGGAUUCGGGGUCGAUGCCUCGUCCCUCGACCCGGUAACGUCGUUCCGAUUCGAGGGUCGGGGUCGAAGAGGGUCAGUGUCCCAUUCAAGGUUGGAUCGUGUCCCGGUUUGAAAGGG